rnacentral:rRNA from 1 species
AUUGAACGCUGGCGGAAUGCUUUACACAUGCAAGUCGAACGGCAGCAUAGGUGCUUGCACCUGAUGGCGAGUGGCGAACGGGUGAGUAAUACAUCGGAACGUGCCCAGUCGUGGGGGAUAACGUAGCGAAAGUUACGCUAAUACCGCAUACGAUCUAAGGAUGAAAGCGGGGGACCGUAAGGCCUCGCGCGAUUGGAGCGGCCGAUGUCAGAUUAGGUAGUUGGUGGGGUAAAGGCCCACCAAGCCAACGAUCUGUAGCUGGUCUGAGAGGACGACCAGCCACAGUGGGACUGAGACACGGCACAGACGCCUACGGGAGGCAGCAGUGGGGAAUGUUGGACAAUGGGCGCAAGCCUGAUCCAGCCAUUCCGCGUGCAGGACGAAGGCCUUCGGGUUGUAAACUGCUUUUGUACGGAGCGAAAAGCCUUGGGUUAAUACCUCGAGGUCAUGACGGUACCGUAAGAAUAAGCACCGGCUAACUACGUGCCAGCAGCCGCAGUAA